UAGGGAGCGGGAGAGGUAGACGGUAUUCUGUGGGUAGGGGUAAAAUCCUUUGAUCCAUAGAGGACCACCAGUGGCGAAGGCGGUCUACCAGAACGCGUUCGACGGUGAGGGAUGAAAGCUGGGGGAGCAAACCGGAUUAGAUACCCGGGUAGUCCCAGCUGUAAACGAUG
rnacentral:rRNA from 1 species